UAGCUCUUCAAUCGCUCGCCAACUCUAG
rnacentral:sRNA from 1 species